UACAGAGGGCAGCCAAGUCGUGAGGCGGAGCUAAUCCCUUAAAGCCAUUCUCAGUUCGGAUUGUAGGCUGAAACUCGCCUACAUGAAGCUGGAGUUACUAGUAAUCGCAGAUCAGAAUGCUGCGGUGAAUGCGUUCCCGGGUCUUGUACACACCGCCCGUCACACCACGGAAGUUGGGGGCGCCCGAAGCCACUUAGCUAACCCUUUUGGGAAGCGAGUGUCGAAGGUGAAAUCAAUAACUGGGGUGAAGUCGUAACAAGGUACC
rnacentral:rRNA from 1 species